GACAGAGGGUGCAAACGUUGUUCGGAAUUACUGGGCGUAAAGCGCGUGUAGGCGGCCAUGCAAGUCGGAUGUGAAAGCCCUCGGCUCAACCGGGGAAGUGCACUCGAAACUGCAAGGCUAGAGUCUCGGAGAGGAUCGUGGAAUUCUCGGUGUAGAGGUGAAAUUCGUAGAUAUCAGGAGGAACACCGAUUGCGAAGGCAGCUCGCUGGGACGUGACUGACGCUGAGACGCGAAAGCGUGGGGAGCAAACAGGG
rnacentral:rRNA from 1 species